rnacentral:rRNA from 1 species
UACAGAGGGUGCGAGCGUUGUUCGGAAUUAUUGGGCGUAAAGGGCGCGUAGGCGGUGCGGUAAGUCACCUGUGAAAUCUCCUGGCUCAACUGGGAGCUUGCAGGCGAAACUGCCGUGCUGGAGUGUGGGAGAGGUGAGUGGAAUUCCCGGUGUAGCGGUGAAAUGCGUAGAGAUCGGGAGGAACAUCUGUGGCGAAGGCGGCCACCUGGACCAACACUGACACUGAGGCACGAAAGCGUGGGGAGCAAACAGG